CACGGGGGGAGCAAGCGUUGUUCGGAAUCACUGGGCGUAAAGGGCGUGUAGGCGGUCAAGUAAGUGGGACGUGAAAGCCCCCGGCUCACCCGGGGAUCUGCAUCCCAAACUGCUUGGCUUGAGUAUGGGAGAGGAUAGGGGAAUUCCUGGUGUAGCGGUGAAAUGCGUAGAUAUCAGGAGGAACACCGGUGGCGAAGGCGCCUAUCUGGCCCAAUACUGACGCUGAGGCGCGAAAGCCAGGGGAGCAAACGGG
rnacentral:rRNA from 1 species